rnacentral:rRNA from 1 species
UACGUAGGGGGCAAGCGUUGUCCGGAAUCAUUGGGCGUAAAGAGCGUGUAGGCGGCUCGGUAAGUCCGCUGUGAAAGUCCAGGGCUCAACCCUGGAAUGCCGGUGGAAACUGUCGAGCUAGAGUCCGGAAGAGGCGAGUGGAAUUCCUGGUGUAGCGGUGAAAUGCGCAGAUAUCAGGAGGAACACCAAUGGCGAAGGCGGCUCUCUGGGACGGUACUGACGCUGAGACGCGAAAGCGUGGGGAGCGAACAGG